AUGCAUCAAGCAAAAAUAACAUAAAAAACAAGAUAAUACAAGAAAAAAUAUAUUAAAAAAAUAAAGAAGAUGGAGAUGAAGACGACGCCGAAGAAGAAAUCACAGGUAUUGUCCAAUUCUUCUCUAUGAGUCUCUUUCUCGCGUCUGGUUGUUCGUUCUUCUCCUGCUACUCUUCUUCAGCUUUUGUUGUUGUGAAUGAUGAUGUGAGAGAGGUUGAGGGAGAUUUGGUUUAGAGACUGCGAGUGAGAGAUUGAGAGAGUGUGAAUGAUUUCUGGUGAGUAAAAAAUGAUUGGAAGAAAGUGAUGAUUGGGUGAUAAUGAGAUUAUAUAGAGAUUGGAGUUAAUAGAGAUAGCUCUGUUAAUUUUACUCAAUGCAAAUUCAGUUGAGUUUUAUCACACUGUUAGUUAUUGAAAUCCAUGAAAGUUAGUUUGUUUGUUAAUAUGAAGUGCAAGUUAGGUUGUUAAAACUGAUUUGCAGUUAGUGUUAUGCUCAGUCAGUUAGAAAUCCAAAUCUGUUAGUUAUGGACUUGUGUGAAGUUAGUUAUGUUAGGUUAGAAUGUGUUUGUGAGCCAAGUUAGUGAAAGUUAGUUAAGUUAAAAUCUGUUAGAAGCUAAUCAUGUUACGAAUUUUCUGUUACAGUUAACAAGUGUUAGUUAAUUUUCUAUUAUGAUGUUCAGGUUAGUGAACUAAUGGUUAGUUAUUUCUACUAGUUAAGAUUGUUAUGAUGUUGAGUGAAUGUGUUGAUAGACUGUUUUGUUUAUGUUAUGUAAUUAGUGAAUGAAUUGUCAGUUGAACUUUGUUCCAACUUCUGUAGAUUGAUUGUUGUUAGUAAUGUUAGUCAGGUUUGCAGUUAUUAUGGUUGCUACUAAUGGUUGAUAAUAAUGACCAUGCUACUGAUGUUAGGAUACGGUUGCUAGUAUGUAUGCUUGAGUUUGAAAUGUCAACAUGUGUAUGGUUAUGUGCUUAUAGCAUGAACAAGUUAGAAUGAGCUUAAAAUUGAUGUUGAGUUGAUCUGCUAUUCAUGAAUGUGUGCAAGUUGAUUUGAACAUGUAAUGGUCUUGAAUGUUGGUUGCUGCAUUGUGGUUAUGUUGGCUUGUAAAUCUAAAUUGAAAUGAUAUGAUCAUUGUAUGAAUGGAUGCAUUGUCUUGGUGGGAAUCAAAAUGUGUAUAUACUGGUUGAUAUUGAAUGGUUUUAUUGGACUGGUUUUUUUUAGGUUGUUUAGCAGCAUAAGGAUUCAGCAAAGGCCUUCAAGAUGCUACUCAUGUGGUUUGUUCUUGAAGUAACUUGGAACAUGGUGAAUAUCAAAAACAUGUGAAGCUUGAAGGCUUUGAGGAAUCAAGCAAAUGGAUGACUUUUGGGAAAAGCAGAAUAUGAAUCAGGUUAGGAUAGUCAAAACUUAGUUAGUUGAUUUUGGUCAAUUGGUUGACCAAAAAGUCAACAGUUGACAUAAAGACAACUUAGGUAAAAAUGUAAUUUUUUUGUAUGGUUUGAUUUGUAAGAACUUGUGAUGUAUGAAUUGUUUUUGAAAUGCAAAAUUCCCUUUUAAAUGCAAAUGAACUUGGAUUUCCAUAUAUGUCUUGAAUGAAAAUGACUUUGAAUGGAUAAAAAAUGGUAAAAAUGAU
rnacentral:lncRNA from 1 species